UGCCAGCAGCCGCGGUAAGACGGAGGGUGCAAGUGUUAUCCGGAUUUAUUGGGUUUAAAGGGUACGUAGGCGGCAUGGUCAGUCAGUGGUGAAAGUUCGCAGCUUAACUGUGAAAUUGCCAUUGAUACUGCCAAGCUAGCGUAAAGUUGAGGUGGGUGGAAUUCUACAUGUAGCGGUGAAAUGCAUAGAUAUGUAGAGGAAUGCCGAUAGCGAAAGCAACUCACUAAGCUUUUACGGACGCUGAGGUACGAAAGCGUGGGGAGCGAACAGGAUUAGAUA
rnacentral:rRNA from 1 species